GGUAAAGAAAAUAUAUCUCAGAGGAGUUAGAGAAGCAACAACUAAUAGAUGAUAGUGCUGAAGUCAGGACUUCUGAAUCCUGGUUUCCAUAGGCCUUGACUUCAGAUAGCUGCGCAUGUUUCUGGACUUGCCCUGUGCGGAAGGAGAGCCCUGCUGCCUUGAUCAAAGUUACACCCCUCUUUUGCCCAGGUUAGGCAACAUCCGGUGAUUGGUCAAAUCAGGUAGAAAGGUCCAGUUCCCUGUGCCACUUCUGGGACACCCUGAAGGAUGCAGUGAAUCCCUCUUCCACUGCCACAGAUGCUCUCCUUCUCAGAGACUGCUUCCCACAGGCAAACUGAUGGGCAAUAAUUAUUCAGGUGAAAGUGUCAUAGGUUGGAUUCUGUGAAGACAAAUUCUAAGACACAUUCUGCAGGAUGAUCAUUAGGACACACCUCGAUUUCAACAGCCACAGAGAGAAGGAUAAGAAGGAAGUAGACUGAGCAGAGGAUAAGCUGAGUUGCAUUUCAGGCCAGAGACUGCUUGGCUGACCCUAUGGGAGCUCUGGAGCUAGAAUGGCCCUUCUGAGUUAUCCUGAGUUGGGCCAAGAUGUCCAGAUCCAGAUAUUCCUGCAUGGGACAGUCACUGGAUAUGGGCCAUCCCAUAAAGGGGGGUUAUACCAGGCAAUGCCUCAAAUGCCACCUGCAUUCCUAUAGCUGGAACACUACCAACAUAGAGGGGGCUACGUCUGCAUGGUGAAUCACAAUGUACAUCUCACAAGUGUAUGAAGUUUGCUGACUGCUAUGGUCUAAAUGUUUGUGUUCCCCAAAUUCAUAUGUUGAAACUUAAUCCCCAAUAUGAUGGCAUUAGGUGGGGUCAUUGAGGUGUGACUUGGUCAAAAGAGGGAGCCCUCAUCAAUGGGAUUAGUGCCUUUGUAAAGGGGACCCCACAGAGCUGCCUUGCUCAUUCAUCACAUGAAGACAUAGCUAGAAGGCAACACCUACAGAUGAGGAAGUGGGCCUUCACCAAACGCUCAAUCUGCCAGUACCUUGAUCUUGGACUUCUCAGUCCCCAGAGUGCUA